rnacentral:rRNA from 1 species
AGCUCCAAUAGCGUAUAUUUAAGUUGUUGCAGUUAAAAAGCUCGUAGUUGGAUUUCUGUCGAAAACGGCCGGUCCGCACUAUGUGCGUGUAUCUGGUUCGGUUUUGGCAUCCUCUUGAAGAACGUGUCUGCGCUUGAUUGCGUGGCGCGGUAUUCAAGACUUUUACUUUGAGGAAAUUAGAGUGUUCACGGCAGGCAAGCGCCUUGAAUAUAUUAGCAUGGAAUAAUAAUAUAGGAUUUUGGUUCUAUUUUGUUGGUUUCUAGGACUAGAAUAAUGAUUAAUAGGGAUAAUUGGGGGCAUUUGUAUUAACGCGUCAGAGGUGGAAUUCUUGGAUUGCGUUACGACAAACUACUGCGAAAGCAUUUGCCAAGGAUGUUUUCA